rnacentral:rRNA from 1 species
AGGGGCAGCACAGGUAGCAAUACUGGGUGGCGACCGGCAAACGGGUGCGGAACACGUACGCAACCUUCCUUUAAGCGGGGAAUAGCCCAGAGAAAUUUGGAUUAAUACCCCAUAAGAAUGUGGAUUGGCAUCAGUCAGCAUUUAAAGAUUUAUCACUUAAAGAUGGGCGUGCGUCUGAUUAGGUAGUUGGUGAGGUAACGGCUCACCAAGCCGACGAUCAGUAACUGGCGUGAGAGCGCGACCAGUCACACGGGCACUGAGACACGGGCCCGACUCCUACGGGAGGCAGCAGUAAGGAAUAUUGGUCAAUGGACGGAAGUCUGAACCAGCCAUGCCGCGUGGAGGAUGAAGGCCCUCUGGGUUGUAAACUUCUUUUAUCUGGGACGAAACACUUCCUUUCUAGGGAGCUUGACGGUACCAGGUGAAUAAGCACCGGCUAACUCCGUGCCAGCAGCCGCGGUAAUACGGAGGGUGCAAGCGUUAUCCGGAUUCACUGGGUUUAAAGGGUGCGUAGGCGGACACUUAAGUCCGUGGUGAAAUCUCUGGGCUUAACCCAGAAACUGCCAUGGAUACUAUUUGUCUUGAAUGUUGUGGAGGUUAGCGGAAUAUGUCAUGUAGCGGUGAAAUGCAUAGAUAUGACAUAGAACACCAAUUGCGAAGGCAGCUGGCUACACAAAUAUUGACGCUGAGGCACGAAAGCGUGGGGAUCAAACAGGAUUAG